UACGUAGGGUGCAAGCGUUAAUCGGAAUUACUGGGCGUAAAGCGUGCGCAGGCGGUUUUGUAAGUUUGUCGUGAAAGCCCCGGGCUCAACCUGGGAAUUGCGAUGAAGACUGCAAGGCUUGAAUCUGGCAGAGGGGGGUAGAAUUCCACGUGUAGCAGUGAAAUGCGUAGAGAUGUGGAGGAACACCGAUGGCGAAGGCAGCCCCCUGGGUCAAGAUUGACGCUCAUGCACGAAAAGCGUGGGGGAGCAAACAGG
rnacentral:rRNA from 1 species